ensembl:lncRNA
UUCCUCAUCUCCUGCCUUCUCAGCAGAUCUCUGAGGGGGUGGCUUUUGCCAUAAAAAUACGUAUUCUAGAUUUGCUGGCUGGUAAAAUUUACUUUCUACGGGAUCAGAAAGAGCGGAUCUUGUUCAAAGGCUUUAGCUACUAUCCUUCAGAGAGAGGAUGGACCCAUGGAGCAGAAUAAUCCUGUCGCCAGCACGAAAUGCUGUCACCCGAGGCGUGGGCUUCCACGCUCGGCCGUGCUGCCGCGAUAUUUAGAGAUAGGGUUAGGCUGACCCUGGCAUUCGCUUCACAGCCUUGGUUGUCAUUUCUUCCAUGUUGAGUUUCCUUCCAGGUCUCUGAUCAUUUCUGCUUUGGGAGGUGGCCAAGGUCCAGGCAGUACCCACGGGCACGCCAAGUCUCUGCGCCACCCCCACCCGGGGGCGCGGUCUGCCUCUUGGAAUGCGUGCGUUCUGGCAGAUGCCGCACACGCAGGGGUCAGAGCCACAGUCCGAGGAGACGGGCGCCUCCUGCACGGGACCUCAUUUUUCUCCAUCUGCACAACCAUUUGGGGCCUCGGGCUUCGUGACUCAUCCAGUGACUAUCCAUCUGCCCAUUUACUCUAGAAAGGAAGAGGAUUUCUUCACACACAGCUGGCCCGGAUUCAGGCGUGAGCUGAGUCAUCGUGUCACAUGUUUCAGAGCCACCUGUCUGACCCAUGCACUGCAGCAGCUCUCCAGAAUGUCAGGGCUCCUCAUUACUUGGAGAGCUGACGCUUCCACCUCCUACUCCCAUGAGGACUUCCAGCUCACAGCAGCCCAUCUUCCUUACAACUCCAAAGAAUUAUUGUGCACGCCUGUCACUGACAGUCAACUAAGAUCAACUGUUUGUUGUCCAUCGUAAAGAUAAUACAUGUCUAUUACAGAAAAAUAGAGACAAAAAAUAUUAUCUGUGGCCCCACCAUGUGAUGACAACCACCAAUUAUAUUUUCUUCUCUCCAUAAUAUUUGUGUUUUUUCUAAUGUUUUAAAUGAAGUGUAACAUAUAGAACACAUACAUGUGUACACACACUCACACAUUGACUCAAUGAAUUUUCAUUAAAGGAACACACCCAUGUUACAAGCACCCAUUAAAAAAUAGAACAUUUUCAGAGUUCCCGUAGUAGCGCAGUGGUUAACGAAUCCGACUAGGAACCAUGAGGUUGCGGGUUCCAUCCCUGGCCUUGCUCAUUGGGUCAAGGAUCCAGUGUUGCCAUGAGCUGUGGUGUAGGCUGCAGACGCAGCUUGGAUCCUGAGUUGCUGUGGCUGUGGCGUAGGCCAGUGGCUACAGCUCCAAUUAGACCCCUAGCCUGGAAAUCUCCAUAUGCCGCAGGAACAGUCCUAGAAAAGCCGAACAAACAAACAAACAAACAAAAAAUGGAACAUUAUCAACAUCCCAGAAACCAUCCUGCUGACCUUGCUCCUUCCGCCCCCCCAGGAUAGUCACCACCUGAAUUCUAACCCGUGAUUAGUUUUACCUUUUUUUUUUUUGAACUUUAUAUAAUUCAUACACACUUUUUUAAAAAAGCAUACUGCAAUCAUUGCUUGUUAUUUCAAAUUAUAGCAUAAACACUUCUACUUGGUUAGGCAUCUUGUGUAAACAUACUGUUUUUUCUUUUUUUUCUUUUUAUAACCACACCUGCGGCAUAUGGAAGUUCCCAGGCUAGGGGUCGAAAUGGAGAUGCAGCCACAGGCCUACACCACAGCCAUAGCAACACUAAACACUGGAUCAGAGCCACAUCUGCAAUCCAUGCCUCAGCUUGUGGCAAUGCGGGGUCCUUAAUCCAAUCCAAUGAGCAAGCCCAGGAAUCAAACCCAUAUCCUCACAGACACUAUGUCAGAUUCUUAACCCGCUGAGCCACAACGGGAACUCCAAACAUACUUUUAAUAGCAGCUUAAUCCUCUAUCAAAGAGGCACAAUGGUUUACUUAACCAUGCCCCUUUUGUUGCACAUUAAUAUUUUGUGGACAAAGCUUUUCCUGCUGGCUAGCCAAACCUGAAAUCUAUAGACCAGGCCACCUGGAAGGGCAAGCUAGAACUCGCCAGCAUGAGCUGAAGCUGUACUCCACAGAAGGAAUUUCUUCAAAGAAACUUUAGUUCUGCUCUUCAGGUCUUUCAAAUGAUUGAAUCAGUCCCAUCAAGAUUAUCUAGGAUAAUUUCCUCUACUUGAAGAAUAACUAAUUAUAUGGAGUUCCUGUUGUGGCGCAGCGGAAAUGAACCUGACUAGGAACCAUGAGGUUGCAGGUUCAAGCCCUGGCCUCGAUCAGUGGGUUAAAGAUCUGGCGUUGCUGUGAGCUAUGGUGUGGGUGGCAGAUUCCACUCAGACCUGUGUUGCUGUGGCCGGCAGCUGUAGUUCUGAUUAGAACCCUAGCCUGGGAACCUCCAUAUGCCACAGGUGUGGCCCUAAAAAACCAAAAACAAACGAAUAACCAAUUAUAGAUGUUAAUCACAUCUACAAAAUGCCUUCAUGGUAACAACUUAGACUAGUGUUUGAUUAAAUAACUGAGGACAAUAGUCUAGGCAAGUUGCCACAGAAAAUUGACCAACACAAGAAAAUAGACUUGUUCCAAUAAGUGGUUUAUUCAAGAGAACAACCUUUCCCCACUGCUCUGCCAUUGCCAACUUAACAUUAAUCAAGUAAACUUUCUUACAGUCUGCAUCUGUUUCUGUGAUCUUCCUUGGCUUGUUCAUCCAUCCUUUUGCCAGUACCAUAUUGUGUUAAUAAUUGUAGCUUUUACAGAAAGUCUGAACAGGAAGUGUAAGUGGCUAUAAAAGACUGGCAUGAGGGAUCUUGGUGUUGAUGUAAACGUUCUGUAUCUUGACUGUAUCAAUGUCGGUAUCCUAGCUGAGAUAUGGUACUAUGGUUUUUCAAGAUGUUACUAUUGGCGUAAUGGGUAGAAGAGUAGGUCUUCCCAUGCAAUUUUAUUACUUUCAUAUAUAGUAUAUAAGCUAUUUUGAAGGAUAAUAUGCAUAUUCUCAAGCACAUUGAAUUCUGAUACGUAAGAGAACACCCCCAUGCUAACCACUGUUUGAACCACUGUUUGAUCUGCUUUCUGUGGGUAUAAAUUAAUUUGCCCUUCAUAGGAUUUUCAAUAAAUAGAAUCAUACAGUAUGUACUGUUUUGUGU